rnacentral:lncRNA from 1 species
UGGGUGAAUCUCUCACGCACUUGCCAUUGAGACACCUUGUAAACUGAUCCCAUUCACAACUUCACAGAGAGGAGGCUUUAGGAGAGCUGCUGGCCACAGAAGUGAUGGGCAGUGCAGAAAACACUUUCCAGAAAACCGCCUGGCUCUAACUGUCCCCUUUUAUUUCCAACUGGAAAUGGUGAAAAUAGCCCUCACUUUGCUUCAUGGGUUUGCCAGGUAAGACGUGCAUUCCCAUAAAAGGAAAACUCUAGGUCGAUUAAGGGACUUGCCUUCAGCCCCCGAGACCCUCCUCUUGGCUGAAUGAGAGGUGUAUUACACCCCAGCCUCUCAGCAUGGGUUUCGGCUGUCUGACAACGUCCUUGUUAAGAGUGACAAGCCAAGCUGGUGGGGCCCAAUCACUAGCCUUGGAGGAGAGGUGCGCUAAGAAUGGGUCUCCAAGAAGCUUCCUAACCAGGAGGGCACAAAGCAUGCGGCAGGAAGGAGCUGGCUUCUCUGGGGCUUUUAGGGGUAAUCUUGUUAAGAAACAGAGGAAGAUUAUUUAAAUGCCUCUUAAGCAGCAGUUCCUCCGUCUUGAUAUUUUCAAGGCCAGUAAUCUGGUCUUUGUUUUAUUCCGGGACUGCCAGCCUGAGAAGUGAUAGGGCUGGCUUGCAGCUGAGGUUGGCAAUGGGCUCACCAGCGUCAGAUGCCAGCUUAACUGGAUGCUCCCAGAAACGCCAGAAUCCUGUGCCUCCAGUGCCAGCUCUGAUUCGUAUGAAACCAGCAGAGGGCGACCCGGCCUGUCAGUGAGGAGGGGUGACGAGAGGGAAGUCCUGCAGAUCUCUCAAAUCUCUGAGAACGAGCAUGAGGAGUGUCGGCCAUCUUGGAUCCCAUCACACGCCCAUCCAUGGAAAACCACUCUUCCUCCGUCUCCUAUCUGUGCCCACACUCAUGUAUCCAGAGCCCGAGGCAGACUCUCGGAGAACACCGCUCCCGCCCUCUGUGCUCUGGCCAUCUCUGCUGUGCCCAGGAAAGAAGAUUCUAGUCUUGCGCUGCUCUUCUGCUCAGUUGCUUCACUUGUGCCCGACUCUUUGAGACCCUGUGGACUGCAGCCCACCAGGCUCCUGCGUCCAGGGAUUUCCCAGGCAAGAAUCCUGGAGUGGGUUGCCAUUUCCUCCUCCAGGGCAUCUUCCCCACCCAGAAAUGGAACCCGAGUCUCCUGCAUUGCAGAUGCAUUCUUUACCACUGAGCCACCCAGAAGCCCUCUAUUCUUCCAGAAAGAAAGAAAGAAAAGAAAGUGAAGUCACUCAGUCGUGUCCGACUCUUUGAGACCCCAUGGACUACUGCAGCCCGCCAGGCUCCUCUGUCCAUGGGAUUCUCCAGGCAAGAAUACUGGAGUGGGUUGCCAUUUCCUUCUCCAGGGGAUCUUCCUGACCCAAGGAUCAAACCCGGGUCUCCCACACUGCAGGCAGAUGCUUUACCAUCUGAGCCACCAGGGAAGCCACUUCUUAUAGAAGAAACAAUAUUUGACAGAAACACAGGGAAUGAGUCUUGAACAUCUGUUAUGCUGUUAAUUUAUGAGGAGUUUUUAAAAGACUCAGUGUUGGUUUUGUUCACCAAAAACAUAAAAGCUAAUUCGUAAUGUUUUCAGCAGAAAUGGCUACAGAUCAGAUGGUCUCAUAUACUGUUCUGGAUUGUCUCCUAUUUAAAUGAUCUUCUUACUGACAGUCACCGCCCUUCAGAGGUUGCUUUAACUCUGAAAAAUAGCAGUGAACUACUCCACGGAUGUGUCCAAUAGCAUUUAGAGAAUUUAAAAAGUCAGCUUGCUAAGCUUGUUAGACUCCAACGUAAGCCAGUGUACGUCCUGAGGGAAUAUCUUUAUUUAGAGGACAAUGGCUAAUGUGAAAUUAUCACAGGUCUCAAUUUGUGUUGGCUUUCUGUGUAUCAUUUGCAGUUUACAGGUUCUUAUCCACAUGUGGCAUGUGCAACAGAAAUCACUUCUAACUCAUUUUAGACUGAAUAAUUGUCUUCUGCAAAUGACUUCAGACAAUGACCUUUUUAAAGGAUGAUCUUCACUGUGUAGAAUAUACCAUCCAGUUGUUGAGUGUAUCUGAACAUCCAUUGGAAACAGAAAGCAAAGGUAUCCGUGGUCCAUUUAGCAGUCACUAGACAGAUUUAAAAAAUAAAGAUGCAGUUAUCAAAAUGCUUAAAAAUUCCAGAACAUCAUUUUAUAAAACCAUCUAUAUUAAAAAUCCUCAAAAACAAAGUACUUAAUGUUCUUUUUGGAAUGAGAAAAAGCCUCAGAACUUUGUUAAGUGAUCAAUACUAUUCAAUUUUAUUCCUCCUCAUUUUUCUUUACUUAUUGAACAUCUUGGAGCUUAAAAGAGAUACUUGUGAUUUGAAUAGUGGGAGAAAGAAGGCUGAGUUAAAGAUGAUUAGAGCAAUAAAUAAAGAAAAAACCUCUUCAUUUUGAAAUAAGAAAGCAAAUUCUACUAUUUUUCUUGAGCCCUUCAAGGAUGAAAUGGUUUGACUGUCUCAGCAGGCAUCCAUAAUUCAUGAAAGGGAUUCUGAUUGAUUUUCGUGAUCAGAAAUUGAUCUAAUUUUAUUAUUCACGUAUGUUAUAAUUUAGGAUUUUUCUAAGAUAAAUCAUGCUCAUGUUUAAUUCUUUCUGUUUGAGAUGACUACUUCACACAGAUUUUUUUUUUUGUUUUUUGGUAUCACUUUCUUUUUCAAGGAGUGUACUGUAUAAUCAUUGAACUCCUCUAUAAUUACACGGCAAAGACUAUGUAAAUACGUAAUUAUGUUCAUGCAGAUUACUUGAUAAUUAUACUUCCAGUUACCAAGUAAUGAACGGAAUAGUCAUCAUGCAACUUGCAGCGCUUAGACUUUCAGCUUGGUCUUUGUUUUUAAAAAAGGAGAGAACUAGAUAAUUACUCCAUGGUUACACGGCACUUACAUUGUCAACAGUCAUGUAUUUACGUUGCUAUUACAUGGUUAUUUUUUACCUUGUAAAAUAAAGUGGGGCUGCCUUUUGAAAGAGGUCCUUUCCUCCUCUCUUUUCAAUAGGAAUUCCACGUCUCAAGCUGGUGAAUAGCAGAGCUGAGCUGCUCUUUUGUAAAUACUUUAAUACCCGGAGUGGCACACAAGCAGAACUGGAAAGGUCUCUGAACUUAUCUUUGCCAAGACAGAAGGCAAAAGAGAGAGGGGGAGAAAACCCACAAAACUCUACGUCAAGUGUGUCAGUGAAACAUGAAACACGUAGUUAUCAACCCUACGUCCAGGGGACUCAUUGCCUAACAACAGUGGUUUUCUGUUUGUUGGCUGAGCUCAUCUGCAGCACCGUUCAUCCGUGCUUCCUCCUCCCUGGAAAGUGCUUCCUCCGUUACUCCCAGAACCAGCUCUCUUUCAUCUCCUUGAUUGCAUCUUUCCUUCCCAAACCCCUUGUGCACAACCUCUGCUUCUGGCUCUAACCCUGUGAACACACCGUUAGGUUAGUGUUGCUUACACUUUAUUGGAGGAAGUCUUCACUUAGUAUCCUGAAUAAAAAUUCAUCAGAAGGACUUCCCUAGUGGCCCAGGGGUUAAGACUCUGCCUUCCAAUGCAGGGGACAUGGGCUCAAUCCCCGGUUGGGGAACUAAGAUCCUGCAUGGCCAGGGGCAAUGAAGCCUGUGCCCCACAGUUAGAGAGAAGCCUGCGUGUGGCCACUAAGCCCUAACUCAGCCAAAAGGAAAAGAAAUGAAUUUUUAAAAAUCCAUCAGAGCCUCUGUGAUUGAUGGCUUUCCAUUUUAUCUCCAGACUUAUCACCAGAGCGUAAGCAUAACUAGUUUAUGAAUAUAUUUAUAAUAAAUUGGGCUUCCUUGGUGGCUCAGAUGGUAAAACAUCUGCCUGCAGUGUGGGAGAUCUGGUUGCAAUCCCUAGUUGGGAAGACACAUUUUUUCAAUUGUUUCUCUGUAAAUGAAUUUGGCCUUCAUUUUGAAAAUAAAUAGGGCCAAGAUACUAAAAGAUUAAUGGAAAGAUAAAUAUGUAUAAGUAGAUAGAAAAAUAGAAGUUUCACACAGCAGUGGCACAGUGGUAAUUAAUCUGGCUCACCAGUCAGGAGAUUUGGGUUCCAUCGGUGAGUCGGGAAGAUACCCUGGAGAAGGGAAUGGCAACCCACUCCAGUAUUCUUGCCUAGAGAAUCUCAUGGACAGAGGAGGCUGGUGGGCUACAGUCCAUGGGGUCGCAAAGAGUGACACAACUGAAUGACUGAACACACACACGCACACCCACAAACACAGCAGAUAUACAUACUGGGGAAUGCAUUCUCAAAUCCUUAUCUUUUGCUAUUUUAUUGGGCUAGCUAUAGCUGAAUCCAAUGACAAUCAUUUGCAAUAGUUUUAGUAGAGUUAUUUUAAAAAGUUUGUUCUUUCUUUCUUUUUUCCGUGGCAUACUGUGUCUUUGACUUUGGGAGCUUAAAGAGAAAGAGAGAAAGAAAGAGAACUCGCUCAGUCGUGUCUGACUCUUUGCGACUCCAUGGACUGUAGCUGACCAAGCUCCUCCAUCCAUGGGAUUUUCCAGACAAGAAUACUGGAGUGGGUUGCCAUUUCCUUCUCCAGGGGAUCGUCCCAAUCCAGGGAUCGUUGGGAGCUUAGCGACGUUUCAAAUAAAAAUAUAAGGCACUGGACUCAUACAUUCAGGCCAUUGAUCUGGCAUUUGCUUAAUACUCAUUAUAUUCAAUGCACUGUGAUCAGCACGGAGGAGAUUCAAAGAUAAAUAUGCAAUUCUUCCUAUCUUUGAUAACAGAAAUUCCGUUUGGGGAAGGAAGAGCACCCAUUUUUAAGUGGGCUUUAAUAUAAAGCAGAAGAAACUAAGAACUAUGAUACGAAGUGACAGAACAUGAACACUGCUUUCCCUAUGAUUUCAAGUAAUUUAUAUCUCACUAACUACCUUUAUGUUUCCCGAGCAAAUUGGCCCAUGACUGCCCCAAUAAAUUAACCUCUCAUUUUGCAUGACCCAUAUGUUGGAAGUUUAGAAUUAAUUUUGCUAAUUCCCAAAAUUACAAAAAUACUGUGUGCUGUGUUUCUGUGCUUGCAAGCAUUAAGUGAAAAUAGCCUUCUUUUUUGGUUCUUCAGGGAAUGUGAUCUUCUUAAAAAAAAACACAACCAAACUCUCUACAGUUUGAAAGAUGAUUUUAUAAUGUAAUAAAGAUGCAUUUAUAAUGUAUGAAUCUUGCUAGAAUCUUUUCACUUAGUGCUCAAACUCAAAUCCAUUAAUGGCAUCUAUAGGUGUCAAAUGAUUUUUA